UAAUAUGUACAUAUAAUAUAUAAUAUAGUAGUAUAAUACUUCUUCGUUACAGUGUAAAAAGAAUUUAUUGAAUUUUCUGCACAUAACCUUUAAUACACUAAUGUGAUGAGUUGAAUAAAAUGGCACAGAAUUAAAGCACGCGAAUUCAAAUAAAAAUAACUGUAAUUAAUUUAGCAUUUUAAACAUUAAUUUCAAUCAUUAACGCAUAGACUAUUUUUUGUCCCAUUAUAAAUUCGCUUCCAGUUCUAUUUGCGAGUAUUCGGCUGUUAGUGUUUUAUGUGUAAUUAAGUACAUAGUUUACCACUUAGUGGUGUUCGAACAAGACCCAUGACAUGCCAAUGUUAUGGUCGGUCGCAUUUUACGAAAAAAGUAAAGCGGCAUUCCAGUAGGGCGGUGUUUAUCAGUGCGACGGAAUGUUUGAAACAUAACAGACCGACUUCUCAGGAUGUAGUUGCUACAGCCCUAUUAACGUUCCGUUAGUUAAAAUCGAAUGACUAUUUAGAAACCCAGCUAAGCACGAAAAUUUCAUAAUAAAAUGUAUCCUUUCAAGGGCUCAUAUUCACCACGUAUAUGGAAAAUCCACUGUAGCAGCUGGCUCAAAUGCAUGAAAAUCUUUCAUGGUGCAGUAACGAAUCACACAGACACCUCAUUCUUAGAGGAUUUCUGCAACCAAACCAUUACAUUUUAUUGCACCGUUGUGUAUCAGCACUUCAAGUUUCUAGCGCGAGGACAAACAGAACAAUAUUUCAGGCUGCACAACAAUUAGGAGAAAUUGCUACGAGUUUUUUUCUAUAUCGAAAUAUAAAUGCAGCCACAGCACGACGAAUAAAAACGGGAAGUUUUUACCGAAUUUGGAAGUGGCCUUGAUUCUUCAGACAGAUUUGACGUCAUCGAGGUCAAGUUGGCGAGCAAGCGAGACCUCACAUGGACCAAUGGCGCCAUCUAGCCAGCAUCAUGAGGUAAAGACACCCACAACAACAAGAGAACAAAGAGGAAUCCAUGCAGGUCUAGUGACGCUGCCGGUUCAUGUGGUCCUUGCGGCUUGGGGAAGACAAAUCAACUUUUAAUUCCAGAAUCAAGUUAUAGUUCCAGAAUCUAAACCAACUGAGGAAUUCCACCGAUACAUAAAGCAGGAAGCGCGGUCCUUUCUCAACGCUGAAAUCUCGAAUUGUUUCAUAUGUCUCGUGUAAGGACUAACCCUAAUCCCUUCUAAUAAGAUUACCUGAAAGUUUUUUUAUUAUUAUUAUUAUUAUUAUUAUUAUUAUUGUUGUUGUUGUUGUUGUUGCUGUUGAUGUUGUUUUCUUUUUUUGUUGCUGUUGUUUAAUCACAGUCACUGUACAAUAGGCCGAUACGUACAAAAUAAACACAGAACCGAACCAUU